rnacentral:rRNA from 1 species
UACGUAGGGUGCAAGCGUUGUCCGGAUUUAUUGGGUUUAAAGGGUGCGUAGGCGGCCCUGUAAGUCAGUGGUGAAAUACUCCAGCUUAACUGGAGGGGUGCCAUUGAUACUGCAGGGCUUGAGUUAAGUUGAAGUUGGCGGAAUUGACGGUGUAGCGGUGAAAUGCUUAGAUAUCGUCAAGAACACCGAUAGUGAAGACAGCUAACUAAACUUUUUACUGACGCUGAGGCACGAAAAGUGUGGGGAUCAAAACAGG